GUGGGGGAGGGGGAGGUCGCAGAGGAGAAGGCCGGGCUGCCCGGCCUGCUGGAUGUUCCUGGCGGCGUCGUGUUGGAGGUCAAGAAGGAGGCCGUGAUGCUGUUGGGCGGCGGAUUGGGCGGGGAGCCUGCUCCCGUGUUGGGGGUUGGCGAUUUCGUUGGAGAAGGGGAUAGUUUGGAGGCAGCGAUUGAUGCCGAGAUGUGUACGGUAGCUCCCGUUGAUGCUGAGAUGAGUCCUAACCAUUUUGGUAUAAUUUUCAGAGCUAAUUAUGCAACCAUAGUCAUCCCCAGGAGUGCCACUUUUCCUUCCAUAUAG
rnacentral:rRNA from 1 species